rnacentral:rRNA from 1 species
AUAAUGACUCUCGGCAACGGAUAUCUCGGCUCACGCAUCGAUGAAGAACGUAGCAAAAUGCGAUACUUGGUGUGAAUUGCAGAAUCCCGUGAACCAUCGAGUUUUUGAACGCAAGUUGCGCCCGAAGCCAUCUGGUUGAGGGCACGUCUGCCUGGGCGUCACGU